rnacentral:rRNA from 1 species
GGAACGAAAUUUUGCCAAUUUGGCAGUUCGAUCUAUGAUUUCACAUUCAUGGACAUUGAUAAGAUCCUUCCAUUUAGUAGCACCUUAGGAUGGCAUAGCCUUAACGUUAAUGGUGAGGUUCAAAAGAGGAAAGGCUUGCGGUGGAUACCUAGGCACCCAGAGACAAGGAAGGGCGUAGCAAGCGAUGAAAUGCUUCGGGGAGUUGAAAAUAAGCAUAGAUCCGGAGAUUCCCAAAUAGGUCAACCUUUUACCUGCUGA